GUGGAUUAGAUACCCCGGUAGUCCACGCUGUAAACGAUGCUAACUCGUUUUUGGGUUUUCGGAUUCAGAGACCAAGCGAAAGUGAUAAGUUAGCCACCUGGGGAGUACGUUCGCAAGAAUGAAACUCAAAGGAAUUGACGGGGGCCCGCACAAGCGGUGGAUUAUGUGGUUUAAUUCGAUGAUACGCGAGGAACCUUACCAAGACUUAAAUGGGAAUUGACAGAUUUAGAAAUAGAUCCUCCUUCGGGCAAUUUUCAAGGUGCUGCAUGGUUGUCGCCAACU
rnacentral:rRNA from 1 species